CUCACUGAGUUACUCAGAGUCCAACGAGCUCAGGCACGAGGCAAAUGAUUGGUUUCCAGACCCUUCUCACAUGGACGAACUUUCCUCUGGACACAAAUUCUGGAUGUGGGAUGUGCCUGCAAAGCAGCAUGGACGUGGAAGAGAACCAGCAACAAGGAGCAAAGCCUCUCAUAUGGAAAAUUUGAAAUGCAGAGGGGAAACAAUAGCUAAGGACAUCAGUGAAGACAUGAAGAUGAUGAAACUGAGGCCAAGAGAGGAUAAGUUACAGUGGCAGAGUUGAGAAGUUUGACAAUCGUCUCAGGCCCCCGAAGCCUAAAAUAUUUACUAUCUGGCCCUUUUCAGGAAAAAAAAAUGUACAUCACUGCUCCUGUUACAGAAAACCAGAUGUUAAACCUGAGAACUUUAUACACAAACAGAAACCACACCAACAGAGACUGCUGCCGGGACAACCACUGACAUAGUAUUGAAAAGAAAGAGAACUAAAGAUUGCCUCCAGAGAAAAUGGUAUCCAUUGCAGCCAAAGAGAAUUUAUCUUGUUACAUAAGAUCCUUUUAUUUAUCUUGGGAGUUGGAAAUAGUUGCUAUCACGAUUUAAAUUACAGCCUAAAUGCCUAGAAAGGACUUCAUUUGAAACAACAAAUAAUUCUUUAGUGAUUGAUUUGCCUUAAAUGCCAUCAGCUCUUGACUGCCUUGCAGGCUUUAUGGAAUUUCAUAAAUGGUAUAUUCUGUUGAGUUUCCCUGAUAUAGAUCUUUCUAUUAAAAAAAAAAAAAGAGCCAUGUAACAAUUGUCUUUGUUUAACUGCUGAAA